rnacentral:tRNA from 1 species
GGGAAUGUGGCUUAAUGGUAGAGUGCUUGCCUAGCAUGCAUGAGGCCCUAGGUUCAAUUUCUGGGUACCCC